rnacentral:rRNA from 1 species
GGGAGGUAGGUGACAAUAAAUAACAAUACGGGGUUCUUUUGGAUUUCGUAAUUGGAAUGAGUACAAUUUAAAUCUCUUAACGAGGAACAAUUGGAGGGCAAGUCUGGUGCCAGCAGCCGCGGUAAUUCCAGCUCCAAUAGCGUAUAUUAAAGUUGUUGCAGUUAAAAAGCUCGUAGUUGAAUUUCGGGGUCAGUAGAUCGGUCAUGCCACAGGUAUGUACUGGUCUCACUGAUUCCUCCUUCCUGAUGAACCGUAAUGCCAUUAAUUUGGUGUUGCGGGGAGACUGGACUGUUACUUUGAAAAAAUUAGAGUGUUUAAAGCAGGCUAACGCUUGAAUACAUUAGCAUGGAAUAACGGAAUAGGACGUUCGAUCUUAUUUUGUUGGUUUCUAAGAUUGACGUAAUGAUUAAUAGGGAUAGUUGGG